GAUGGGGGGUGGGGGUGGGGGGGUUUUCCGAAAUUAAAAUUAUUGAUUGAUGCCACGGACGUUUUGGAGAUCUAAUUAGACACGAUGUGGACAAAAGCUGAUAUUAUAAUAGAUUGUUUCGGAGUUUCACAGACAGAUUGCGAUGGGGGUGUAAUUUAUCUUCCUUUAUCAAACGUGGAUAUUAAAAACGAUAAUUAGAGCGUUGCAGGGAUGGGAUGCAAGUCUCACACUCCAAUGGAAUUACCAAUUUGUUCUUACACGGAUGAUGUAAAUACUGCACUUGGAUGAGGUAAGGUAAGUGUCUGACUGGAAAUAGACUGCACUGAUUUGCUAAUCUGCAAGAUGAUUUAACAACAAGUCAAUGUCUAGGGAUUUUUGUGUUAUUUUCCUGUGUUGUUUUUAUAAUGGCUGUCAAAAUUAACUGAAAUAAAUGUUACAAAAGGUUACAAAAUGUGUGGUCAUUUCUUUAGGAAUGAUAUUCCAUCUGCCAUAAGACUACAUGGAUUUCAAAGCAUUUACUAACAUUGUCCAUGGAAUCAAUGACAAGGUUUGUUAUCACAUCCCAUCACUAACACUGUAUAAACAAACAAAGUCUAACACACUGGUUGAUGGUAUUGAACAAAUACGCCUAUAUAUACAGACAAUUACAAGUACAUACAUUGACAAGCCCUCUCUCGAUCACAAGUUGCUGAACAGCACAGUCCAUGCCAUAGACAGAUGUUAACCAGAAUGUUUCAAAAAUGUACCACAUAAACAUGAUAAAUAUUGCACAUGAAAGCAGACAAAACACCCUGAGGCAUUGGAAAACACAGCGUUAUCCUCGUCUGAAAUGUCUUGAGAUUUCCUCACCACCCAUUGACUAGUAGAUUUAAAAGAGUUGCUGGGCUGUAAAAACUAAUGCAUAUGCAGCCAUGGCAAUGUCCUCCCCUUUAUUCUUCUGGCGUAAUGGCUGCAUGUCCUUGAAUCAGGGAAGCAACAUCCAAUCCUGUUCCUUCUUUCCCAGUCAUAAAUGGAAUGGUGAUAAAAUUCAAGAGCCAUCCAGCAGAUAUCCUUCAGAGAAUAGACUUACAGAAUGGCUCCAUUUGUCAUGGU
ensembl:lncRNA